CCUACGGGAGGCAGCAGUAGGGAAUAUUGGGCAAUGGAGGCAACUCUGACCCAGCCAUGCCGCGUGCAGGAAGACGGUCCUCUGGAUUGUAAACUGCUUUUGAAUGGGAAGAAUGUGCUCCUUGCGAGGGGUAAUGACGGUACCAUUAGAAUAAGCCACGGCUAACUACGUGCCAGCAGCCGCGGUAAUACGUAGGUGGCGAGCGUUAUCCGGAUUUAUUGGGUUUAAAGGGUGCGUAGGCGGCUUAAUAAGUCGGUGGUUAAAAGUAGCAGCUUAACUGUUUUACAUGCCAUCGAUACUGUUGAGCUUGAGAUAUUUGGAGGCAGCUAGAAUUUCCGGUGUAGCGGUGAAAUGCAUAGAUACCGGAAGGAAUACCAAUUGCGAAGGCAGGUUGCUACGAAUAAACUGACGCUGAUGCACGAAAGCGUGGGGAUCAAACAGGAUUAGAUACCCUGGUAGUCCACGCCGUAAACGAUGAUUACUAGUUGUUGGGGUUUAAGCCUCAGUGACCAAGGGAAACCGAUAAGUAAUCCACCUGGGGAGUACGCCGGCAACGGUGAAACUCAAAGGAAUUGACGGCNGAGACGNGCGACGACGACGACGAGGAGGAG
rnacentral:rRNA from 1 species